rnacentral:rRNA from 1 species
UCGGCAACGGAUAUCUCGGCUCUUACAUCGAUGAAGAACGUAGCAAAAUGCGAUACUUGGUGUGAAUUGCAGAAUCCCGUGAACCAUCGAGUCUUUGAACGCAAGUUGCGCCCGAACCCCUCGGGUUGAGGGCACGUCUGCCUGGGUGUCACGUACAAACGUCUCCCACAAGMCUUCGUCCUUUGCGGACGGAGGGCUUCGUGCGAGCAGAGAUUGGUUUCCCGUGCUC